rnacentral:rRNA from 1 species
UGAUCAUUGCUCAUAUUGGACGACUGGCGGGCAUGCCUUUACACAAGCAAGUACGNAACGGCAGCACGGGGGCAAUCCCUGGUGGCGAAUGGCGAACGGGUGAGUUAUACAUCGGNACGNGUCCUGUAGUGGGGGAUAGCCCGGCGAAAGCCGGAAUGAUACCGCAUACGCUCUACGGAGGAAAGGGGGGGAUCUUAGGACCUCUCGCUACAGGGGCGGCCGAUGGCAGAUUAGCUAGUUGGUGGGGUAAAGGCCUACCAAGGCGACGAUCUGUAGCUGGUCUGAGAGGACGACCAGCCACACUGGGACUGAGACACGGCCCAGACUCCUACGGGAGGCAGCAGUGGGGAAUUUUGGACAAUGGGCGCAAGCCUGAUCCAGCAAUGCCGCGUGUGUGAAGAAGGCCUUCGGGUUGUAAAGCACUUUUGUCCGGAAAGAAAACCUCUGGGUUAAUACCCCGGGAGGGAUGACGGUACCGGAAGAAUAGCACCGGCUAACU